UUAAGAUCAAGUCCACAGAAACCAGUAUUUUACGUCAACGUGAAUGCUAUUGUUGACUUCAUAAAAGUGGAGACAUACUCAGAGUAGCUGAUUGUAAAACUGAAAUACACCUGAGAGCACUCCUUACAAGCUAUUUGGGGAACAUCCAGAGAACAAAUAUGCCAGUGUUGAAAAUGCUUCGGACCAUUUCAUUCCAUCUUCUGAUAGGCCUAUGUCUAAUUGCACAUGGCACAGCCGCAGCUACAACCACUCCUGCAGCUACAAGCCCAGCUGCAACAUCCAGUCCUGGUGCCACAAGCCCAGCUGCAACAUCCAGUCCUGGUGCUACCAGCCCAGCUAUAACAUCCAGUCCUGGUGCCACAAGCCCAGCUGCAACAUCCAGUCCUGGUGCUACCAGCCCAGCUAUGACAUCCACGGCUGGCAUCCCGAUAACCAUGAACACUGCUGCUGCCACAAGCAACGCUAUGAACAACACAGCUGCCGUAACAACAGGAGUUGCUACAACAGCAAACACCACAAGCAGUGCGGCUACAUCAAUUGGAAUAUUCCACCAAAUCUGCCUUCUACUCUGCAUGGCUUUAUUAACAGUAGGCCUAACAGUUGGUAUAUAAUCCUUGAUAUUAAUUAUUUUUAACACAACCUUAAUAAUUGGGGAUUUUCUUGAUUUUUGCAUUCCCUUUAACAUCUAUGUAGGCCGAUCAUGGGGGAUAUGUUUGUGGAGCAAAUAGUAUCUAUUUAGCCUUGAUAACAUUAUCUUAUUGUAAUAUUAUACAAGUCAUUUUAUGAUGCAACGUGCUGUGGGCUUUAGAAAAUGACAUUCGAAAAACGUGUUUCACUAAAUGUUUGCGAAACUCCAAUAUUUGUUUGUCCCUUAAUUAAACAACUUUCAUAAUGUCAA